UGUCCCGGGAAGUUGUACUACCUCCAGGGUGCUGCUGCUGCUGCUGCCCUUGGGGCGGGCGGGGCGGAGGGGGGCGGGUGGUCACUGGGCAGCGUCAGCCGGACCGCAAGAGGGACGUGCCCAGGGCUGAAGGGAGAUCAGGAACAACUGUAUCCUGUUAUGCACGGCGUGUCUCUCCUGACCUUUAAUCACACGUGCGUCUCAAGGGUGGACCUCAGUUUCAGCUGCUGUUGGAGAACACUUGCAGACCAAUUGUGAACUUACAGAUAAAGAAACUGAGGCUCCGAGAAAUCAAGAAACAUGAACGAUGGCAUCUAUGAAGUCUGGCUCUGGAGCUCAAGCUCCAGAUGACUGCCCUGAAUUGCCUCACCUUUACAAGAGAGAAGCUCUCCAGGCCAGAGGCUGCGUGCUUGAGGCUGUGUCCCGGAGGACGAUUUGAGACCCCAAAGCACCCUCGAGCUGCAAUUCUGCGCCAGGGCUUGAAGCUUCCAGACUAAGUCUUGCUUCUUGUUCAAUUAAAAAAACAAACCGGGCGCCUGGGUGGCUCAGUCGGUUAAGCGUCCGAUUUCAGCCCGGGUCAUGAUCUCGCGGUGAGUUCGAGCCCCGCGUCGGGCUCUGUGCUGACCGCUC